rnacentral:rRNA from 1 species
ACGUUGCUCGGAAUUACUGGGCGUAAAGCGCGUGUAGGUGGUGCCGCACGUCUGGUGUGAAAGCCCGGGGCUCAACCCCGGAAGGGCAUCGGAUACGACGGCGCUGGAGUGCUGACGAGGAACGCGGAAUUCCCGGUGUAGAGGUGAAAUUCGUAGAUAUCGGGAGGAACACCAGUGGCGAAGGCGGCGUUCUGGGCAGCGACUGACACUGAGACGCGAAAGCGUG